rnacentral:lncRNA from 1 species
AAAAAAAUAAAUUAAAUUAAAGAUUUAUUGAGAAUUCGUGGAAGUUAUUGAGAAUUAUGGGAUUGUGCAUUUAGAUUUUCUCCUUAUGGUUGUCCGGCUGUCUAGGGGUACAAUUGAUGCCCCCUGGGAGUGUUUUUGCAAUAAAAUAAUCGCAUCUGUGCCGGGAAAUUAUAAAAAUAAUGCUGUUCCCCGAUAGGAAAUGAUGUCGCUGCAGCUCCCUUUCACAGAACCUGAGAGGAAAAACGCAAUGCAAAUAAAAUAACCCUUGAUCAGGCCCCGAAAUAACUGAAAUGUGGUUAAUUAGCAGCAGAUCGAGCCCUUUUUUUGGCCCUUGAAAGGGCAAAGUGAAUCCUGCCUGGAGGGCGUAGCACGCUCCGGGAGGGAGCAAACACAAACAGGGAGCAAAACAGUUUCAUUACUCGCAGAAGUUAUGCAGGCUGCAAAGUUUGUUUUGCAACUAAUUAAGACUUCAUGCAAAGAGGGUGUCACAUCCUCCAGGCGCUUUAGGGACGUGUAUAAAAGCAUUUGCUACGUAGAAGCCUCCCUAAUCACUUUUCUUUUCCUCUCCUCCUUGGGUGAUCCGGCUCUGCCCCAUGUCUCCCUUCCACGAGCGCUGUCUCCCCGUGGGCCUGGCGUGCCCCGAGCCCUUCGCCAUGACCUGCAAUGACACCUGUGUCAUCAAGUACCCCGACACCGUGGUGGACAUCGUGAAGCCCUAUUUGCCCCCCUACUCCGUCAUCUACCCCGGGCCCACCCUGACCACCUUCCCCCAGCAGAGCUUGGUGGGCUCCAGGGGCCUGCUGGACAUCAGGAACUUCCUGGGCUCCCAGGGAUUCCAUGGGUUUGGGGGCCAACCUAAACCCUGCCUGGAUAUCUGUGGAUAGACUGAAAAGCACAACUGAGCAGUCAGACAGAGCCCGACUAGAGUUUAUGGAUAAUGGAUUGUAGAAGUGCCGAGCUCCCGAGCUUCCCAUGGAGCCCAUAAAUCCAGGGAUUCCUGGCACUAGACCUGCCCGAGGACUAGAAUUUCCAAACUACAAGAAAACUGAAAUUUCUCUAUUGACUUCAUUCCAAAUUAGGACGAACCAAAGCCCAGAAUUUUCCAAGAAAACCAGAUUUUAAAAAACAGAUCUCUUUUCUUUUUUUUUUUUUUUUUUUUUUUUUUUUUUUUUUUUUGGUUUGCUAAAAGCUGUGUGUCAAUAAAUUCAUUUUUUAUGCCA